rnacentral:rRNA from 1 species
CCUACGGGAGGCAGCAGUGGGGAAUAUUGCACAAUGGGGGAAACCCUGAUGCAGCGACGCCGCGUGAGUGAGGAAGUAUUUCGGUACGUAAAGCUCUAUCAGCAGGGAAGAAAAUGACGGUACCUGACUAAGAAGCCCCGGCUAACUACGUGCCAGCAGCCGCGGUAAUACGUAGGGGGCAAGCGUUAUCCGGAUUUACUGGGUGUAAAGGGAGCGUAGACGGCAGCGCAAGUCUGGAGUGAAAUCCCAUGGCUUAACCAUGGAACUGCUUUGGAAACUGUGCAGCUAGAGUGCAGGAGAGGUAAGCGGAAUUCCUAGUGUAGCGGUGAAAUGCGUAGAUAUUAGGAGGAACACCAGUGGCGAAGGCGGCUUACUGGACUGUAACUGACGUUGAGGCACGAAAGCGUGGGGAGCAAACAGGAUUAGAUACCCCAGUAGUC